CCUCCCCCGUCCGGCGCCUCGAGCUCUGCAAAUCGAAGCAGCGGCGGGAGGAGCUCCUGCGCGGCCAAUGGAUCUCGUUCUCUCCUCUCCCCGCCGCCGCCAGCGCCUCUACAACUCGCCCACCAGCGCUGCUACAGCGCCCCAGCCAGCGCCAUGGAGGGCAUGUCCUCAAAGUUCGGUCCCCAUCACCAGCGCCCUGGAAGGCAACCUCCACCGCAGCUUUCCGCCGCGGGUGAUGCGGUCGCGGAUUUGCGGGUGCAUGGCGACCCGCGUUCGCACAGGCACCAGCCCGCCGGAUGUGAAUCCUUCUCGCUAAGGUGAGGUGCCAUCACUGACUACGGAUUUCCAUGCUGAAAAGUGCUGACGAGCAAGGGAUAAGGAGCUUCUAGAUGCCUGGGGAGGAUGGAACCCUAUCUCUUCAUGAUUGAGAGUAAGAAGACUGCAUGGAGAAAUUUGGAGUUGGAACAAGAACAUGACUGCAGAAGAAAGCAAGGGAGAAAUGGCUUGUGGAUGCAUGAGGGGCUGUGGGGUUGGGGAACUCGAUGAAGCCACAUCUCUCCAAGUUUGACAUAGAUAGGCCGAGUGGGAGGAAGAAUAAAACCAGAUAUGUGCUACAACUAAACUGCGACUUCGCAAAAUAAGCAUAGGAAUUUUGUUACGUCAGUCCUCGUUACAUUGCGACUUAGAUAUCCUAAUCAAAAGGUCUCCAGAAUCCUGUUAGAGAACUCCGUCACUGCUACAAUGCUACACCUUUACUGACAGAGCAAAUGUUCUAAAUUCCUUGCUAUAACUGUUGCAGUUCUAAUUGUA